CCUACGGGUGGCAGCAGUGGGGAAUAUUGGACAAUGGGGGCAACCCUGAUCCAGCCAUGCCGCGUGUGUGAAGAAGGCCCUCGGGUUGUAAAGCACUUUCAGUGAGGAAGAACGCCUGGUGGUUAAUACCCAUCAGGAAAGACAUCACUCACAGAAGAAGCACCGGCUAACUCCGUGCCAGCAGCCGCGGUAAUACGGAGGGUGCGAGCGUUAAUCGGAAUUACUGGGCGUAAAGCGCGCGUAGGUGGCUUGAUAAGCCGGUUGUGAAAGCCCCGGGCUCAACCUGGGAACGGCAUCCGGAACUGUCAAGCUAGAGUGCAGGAGAGGAAGGUAGAAUUCCCGGUGUAGCGGUGAAAUGCGUAGAGAUCGGGAGGAAUACCAGUGGCGAAGGCAGCCUUCUGGACUGACACUGACACUGAGGUGCGAAAGCGUGGGUAGCAAACAGGAUUAGAUACCCGAGUAGUC
rnacentral:rRNA from 1 species